rnacentral:rRNA from 1 species
AUUGAACGCUGGCGGCAGGCCUAACACAUGCAAGUCGAACGAGUGGCGGACGGGUGAGUAAUGUCUGGGAAACUGCCUGAUGGAGGGGGAUAACUACUGGAAACGGUAGCUAAUACCGCAUACCAUCGGAUGUGCCCAGAUGGGAUUAGCUAGUAGGUGGGGUAAAGGCUCACCUAGGCGACGAUCCCUAGCUGGUCUGAGAGGAUGACUGCCCACACGGGAAUGGAGCCACGGUCCAGCCUCCUAGGGGAGGAAGCAGGGGGGAAUAUUGCACAAUGGGCGCAAGCCGAAUGCAGCAAUGCCGGGUGUAUGAAGAAGGCCUUCGGUUUGUAAAGUACUUUCAGCGGGGAGGCGUUACCCGCAGAAGAAGCACCGGCUAACUCCUUGCCAGCAGCGCGGUAAUAC